rnacentral:tRNA from 1 species
GGGUCGUUAGCUCAGCUGGUAGAGCAGCGGACUCUUAAUCCGUUGGUCGCAGGUUCGAUCCCUGCACGGCCUACCA